UACGUAGGUGGCAAGCGUUGUCCGGAUUUAUUGGGUUUAAAGGGUGCGUAGGCGGCCCUGUAAGUCAGUGCUGAAAUAUCCCAGCUUAACUGGGAGGGUGGCAUUGAUACUGCGGGGCUAGAGUACAGAUGAGGUAGGCGGAAUUGACGGUGUAGCGGUGAAAUGCGUAGAUAUCGGAAGGAACAUCAGUGGCGAAAGCGACUUCCUGGACCAGUACCGACGUUCAGGCACGAAAGCGUGGGGAGCAAACAGG
rnacentral:rRNA from 1 species